rnacentral:rRNA from 1 species
UUUGGAUUCGUCUGAAGGGGAGAGUGGCGAACGGGUGAGUAACACGUGGGUGACCUGCCUCGAAGACGGGGAUAACUACUGGAAACGGUGGCUAAUACCCGAUGGUCUCGAUAAUUCGGUUUAUCGAGUAAAGGCUCCAGCGCUUUGAGAGGGACCUGCGGCCCAUCAGCUAGUUGGUAGGGUAAUGGCCUACCAAGGCAAAGACGGGUAGGGGGCGUGAGAGCGUGACCCCCCACACUGGCACUGGGACACGGGCCAGACUCCUACGGGAGGCAGCAGUGAGGAAUAUUGCGCAAUGAGCGAAAGCUAGACGCAGCAACGCCGCGUGGGUGAUGAAGGCCUUCGGGUCGUAAAACCCUUCUCUGGGGGAAGAGUAAGGACGGUACCCCAGGAAUAAGCCUCGGCUAAACUAUGUGCCAGCAGCCGCGGUAAUACAUAGGAGGCAAGCGUUAUCCGGAUUUACUGGGCGUAAAGAGCGUUGAGGCGGCUUCGUAAGUUGGACGUGAAAGCUCCCGGCUUAACUGGGAGAGGCCGUUCAAUACUGCGGGGCUUGAGGACAGCAGAGGGGGGUGGAAAUUCCGGUGUAGUGGUGCAAUGCGUAGAUAUCGGAAGGAACACCAGUGGCG